CGAGCAGGCUCGCUCCCACAGGGGAUCUCUGUCGGUCGCAGAAUUCGCGUUCACUGAAGAUCAAACCUGUGGGAGCGAGCCUGCUCG
rnacentral:antisense_RNA from 1 species